AUUUAAGUAAUUUAAAAUAAAAUAUUGACUUGUGGCGUCAAAAAUGUAGUUUAUUACCUUAAAUU
rnacentral:tRNA from 1 species